rnacentral:rRNA from 1 species
UCAUUAGUUUUUUAAUUGAAAGCUUGUAUGAAUGGUUUGAUGAGAAAAUAGCUUUUUUUAUUUUAAUUUUUAAGAAUUUUAUUUUUAAGUUAAAAAGCUUAAAUUUUUAUAAUAGACGAGAAGACCCUAUAGAGUUUAAUUAUUAAUUAUUUUUAUAUUUUUAGAAUUUUAAUUUAUAAAUUUAAUUUAAUAAUUUAAUUGGGGUGAUUGAAAAAUUAAAUUAACUUUUUCUUUAUUUUUACAUUGAUGUAUGAUUUUAUGAUCCAUAAAAAUGAUUAAAAGAUUAAAUUACCUUAGGGAUAACAGCGUUAUUUUUUUUUAGAGUUCAAAUCGAAAAAAGAGAUUGCGACCUCGAUGUUGGAUUAAAGUUUAUAUUAGGAGGAGAAUUUUAAU